CGGGUGAGUAACGCGUGAGGAACCUGCCUCAAAGAGGGGACAACAGUUGGAAACGACUGCUAAUACCGCAUAAGCCCACAGCUCGGCAUCGAGCAGAGGGAAAAGGAGUGAUCCGCUUUGAGAUGGCCUCGCGUCCGAUUAGCUAGUUGGUGAGGUAACGGCCCACCAAGGCGACGAUCGGUAGCCGGACUGGGAGGUUGAACGGCCACAUUGGGACUGAGACACGGCCCAG
rnacentral:rRNA from 1 species